UCGCGCUAUCCGAAUGUGCGCUUUUGUUGUUUAUGGCUACAAGAGAUUGAAAUGUUCUGUCCGUUUUGUGCUGUGCAACUGGGGGACGCUCCCAAGUUUUGCCCGUCGUGUGGUCUAAAAGUGGGGUUCCUUACGGAGCGUCCAUCCACGUCAUCAAGCGUAGGCCAUGGGCCUACAGGUAACAUCCCCUUGUUGUGCUCCUAUUCCACUGUGCUGCAUUGAAUUGUCGUCCCGUGGUUUUAGCUGUCAGAAAGGCGACAAUUUAUCAACCAAUCUCAAAUCAUAGCUAUAAUGAAUCAGUGUGUGUGUGUUAGUGAAUGAGACAAGUAUCCAAGGAAGAGCAGCUCAAUUCAUGAGGUUCAGGGAAGUUAAAGAGGCUGAGAGGAGGACCUUUUCAAAGGCUAAAAAGAAACCAAACAUUACGGUCAAGAUUUCGAUUGGCAUAAUGACCAGAACAAAAUAUGGGUUAAAACCUAUAAGAGGGAAAACCUUGCCAUUAAAUGUUGAACCCCUGUGGUCAUCAAAACAAAUUUUGCCAGCUGCUAUAAAAAAAACAGCGAGAUUUUAAUCAAGACACAAUGUACGAUGGAGAAUAUGUUCUGGUCUAUCCUGAUGGCUCUCAGGUACAAAAUAUACCAGGCACAGACAGACCCUUUGUCCUUGAACAUUAUAAAGAGGCCAUUGGAAAGGCUUACCAGAGGAUCGUACUGUACA